rnacentral:rRNA from 1 species
GACGAACGGCUGGCGGCGUGCUUAACACAUGCAAGUCGAACGGAGUGCCUAUGAUAGAGACUUCGGUCAAUGGAUUAGGUUACUUAGUGGCGGACUGGUGAGUAACGCGUGAGGAACCUGCCUUUCAGAGGGGGACAACAGUUGGAAACGACUGCUAAUACCGCAUGACACAUCGAUGGGGCAUCCCAUUGAUGUCAAAGAUUUAUCGCUGAAAGAUGGCCUCGCGUCUGAUUAGAUAGUUGGCGGGGUAACGGCCCACCAAGUCGACGAUCAGUAGCCGGACUGAGAGGUUGACCGGCCACAUUGGGACUGAGAUACGGCCCAGACUCCUACGGGAGGCAGCAGUGGGGAAUAUUGGGCAAUGGACGCAAGUCUGACCCAGCAACGCCGCGUGAAGGAAGAAGGCUUUCGGGUUGUAAACUUCUUUUGUCAGGGAAGAGCAGAAGACGGUACCUGACGAAUAAGCCACGGCUAACUACGUG